AUACGAAGGGUGCAAGCGUUACUCGGAAUUACUGGGCGUAAAGCGUGCGUAGGUGGUUGUUUAAGUCUGUCGUGAAAGCCCUGGGCUCAACCUGGGAAAGGCGAUGGAAACUGGGCGACUAGAGUGUGGCAGAGGGUAGUGGAAUUCCUGGUGUAGCAGUGAGAUGCGUAGAGAUCAGGAGGAACAUCCGUGGCGAAGGCGACUGCCUGGGCCAACACUGACACUGAGGCACGAAAGCGUGGGGAGCAAACAGGAUUAGAUACCCUGGUAGUCCACGCCCUAAACGAUGCGAACUGGAUGUUGGGUGCAAUUUGGCACGCAGUAUCGAAGCUAACGCGUUAAGUUCGCCGCCUGGGGAGUACGGUCGCAAGACUGAAACUCAAAUGAAUUGACGGGG
rnacentral:rRNA from 1 species